AUUGCGUCUCAGUCUUUUGACUAAGACCAAGACCAAGUAUAGUAUCUUUUCUUAACAGUUUAAUGUCUGAUAUGUUCUCUAUCCAAAGACAAUAUAUUAAAAGGAUUUUUGGAGCAGGGAGAUGGAAUAGGGGAUUGCUCUGUUCACUCCAUUCGUCAACCUGGUAGUGCAGUAUCUCCAGGGAUGGUGUACCAAAA